UCUGCACGAAUCUUUUCACACAAACUCCUCUUGUAAACCGAGUCAGGAUGCAGUCGCCCGUACUCGCACUCGUCCUUUGGGCUCUACUGAUUCCGGGAUCUUCUGCCGCUGAUUUCCUGAGGCAGACGGACAGAAUAAAGUCCGUCUCUCUUGGAGGAACGUUGACCAUUGGCGCCACAGGGAGUUCAAACAUUGGGCGCUUUCUCAGUUGGUACCAAGUGAAACCUGGGCAGGCUCCCAAACUGCUCAUCUACCUUGUAUCCAGUCGCGAGUCUGGCACGCCAUCUCGAUUCAGCGGCACACAAUCUGGCUCUGACUACACUCUGACCAUCAGUGGUGUCCAGGCAGAAGACGUGGCUGAUUACUACUGUCUCGGCUAUCACGGCAGUGGAAGGUACACACGGUGAUUCAGAGCCGUACAAAAACCUCUUUCAACUUUGAGCGAAGUGAAAGCGACCUGCAGAAUGUGGCAAGUGGAAAGCAGAAGACACUGAAUGAUGAGCAUGACUGGUCGUCAAGCUAAUGAAUCACUCAAGCUGACUGAAAACAUUAUAUUUAUAUUAUUCUUUCUAGUUACAAUAUUUGUAUUUUUUUAUAUGAAUGAGUGGUUAUUAUUUCUUUUUCUCCGGGACAAAAUAUAUUUAUUUAUUUAGUUACUUUACUUAAAUUAUGUAUUAAUUUUAUUUAACCUACAUAAUAAACUACAUUUAUGUGUCACAAUGAAUGUGUGGUUAUUAUCAUUGAAACAAUUCAUUAAAGUGCAAACUAUAUAGUAUAUCUUUACCUAUGAUGUAAUUAUAUUAUUUGUAAACAUUAAAGUAACCUAAUUUUGAGAGCAAACUGUAUGUAUUUAUUAAUUAAUUUA